rnacentral:rRNA from 1 species
GCUUAGCAUGAAGUGAAGCACAUACACCUGCUGAGUUUAAGCAUAUAAGUAAGUGGUGGAAAUUAAACCAAAUGGGAUAUCUUUAGUAAUUACGACUGAACAAGGAUAUGCUUAGCUUGACAAAUGGAGCUAUUGGCUUUGAAUUGUAUUGUGGAAAUGUAUUACCAACAGAGGUGCAGGUGCCAGCAUAUUGAAAUAAAGCGUCAAUGAGGUUGAGAAUCCUGUUUGCCAUGUGCAGCCCUUUGUGCACGGUGUAUAUUUGCUGAGUCACACGCAUUGGCAUUGGAAUGCAAAGUGGGUGGUAAGUUUCAUGUAAAGGUAAACAUGCAAUUGAGACUGAUAGCACACAAGUACCAUGAGGGAAAUAUGAAAAGGACUUUGAAAAGAGAAUUAAAUGAGUUUGUAUUUGCUGAACACAAAGUAAACAGACUUGAUUUGCUUGGUGGGAGUGUUGCACUUGCUUGACAAGAGCUUUGGGCUGUGGGUGUAAUGAUUCUUUCUUUGCAUGCCAGUUUCUAUUUGUACAUCUGAUUACCUUUGCACAUGAAUGAUAAGUCUCCUGUGGGGGGUGGAUUGCAUGUGCAUGUAAUGAUUUGUGUUUUGAUACAUGUGUCUGGUGUAUGUGUGUGUGUUCCUGUGCUUGGGGAUGCUUCCUUCCUUGGACUUACAAGCCCUGACACACACAUGCUGGCAAAAUGCUUCUGCUUGACCCGUCUUGAAACACGGACCAAGGAGUCUAACAGAUGUGCAAAGUUUGAAGGUGGUAUACCUUUGUGUGCAAUGAAAGUGUCAGCUGGGAUAUGUGCACCAGCACCCAAUUAAUUAGCGGACAGAGGUUUGAGUUGGAGCAUAUCUAUUAGGACCCGAAAGAUGGUGAACUAUGCCUGAACAGAAUGAAUUCAGAGGAAACUCUGAUGGAGGUUCGUAUCGAUACUGACGUGCAAAUCGUUCGU